rnacentral:tRNA from 1 species
GGCGCUGUGGUGCAGCUGGUUAACGCUCCGGCCUGAAGCGCCGGCAUCCCAUAUGGGUGCUGGUUCGAGUCCUGGCUGCUCCA